GUAUAAAAAUGAGAGUUCUAACUCAUGAGCAUGAGCAUGAGCCAUGUGCCACCACCCAAAGCCGGUUCUAAACCGUGAGCAUGAGCAUGCUCAUGCUCAUGCUCAUGCUCAUGAGUUAGAACUCUCAUUAUCAUACUACU